ACUAAAUGAUGACCUAAUUCAGUUCUGCUUCUGACUAAGCUUUGAAGAAAAUUCUUACCCACAAUUCUGAGAU